rnacentral:rRNA from 1 species
CAAUAGCGUAUAUUAAAGUUGUUGCAGUUAAAAAGCUCGUAGUUGGAUUUGUGGCUGUCGCAUGCGGCCCGCAUUCGUGCGGUGUUUGCUAGCGUCGCCAUCCUUGGGUGGAACCUGUGUGGCAUUAGGUUGUCGUGCAGGGGAUGCCCAUCGUUUACUGUGAAAAAAUUAGAGUGUUCAAAGCAGGCUUACGCCGUUGAAUAUAUUAGCAUGGAAUAAUAAGAUAGGACCUUGGUACUAUUUUGUUGGUUUGCGCACCAAGGUAAUGAUUAAUAGGGACAGUUGGGGGUAUUCGUAUUCCAUUGUCAGAGGUGAAAUUCUUGGAUUUUUGGAAGACGAACUACUGCGAAAGCAUUUACCAAGGAUGUUUUCAUUAA